CCUACGGGGGGCUGCAGUGAGGAAUAUUGGUCAAUGGACGAGAGUCUGAACCAGCCAAGUAGCGUGAAGGAUGACUGCCCUAUGGGUUGUAAACUUCUUUUAUAAAGGAAUAAAACGAGGCACGUGUGCCUUUUUGCAUGUACUUUAUGAAUAAGGAUCGGCUAACUCCGUGCCAGCAGCCGCGGUAAUACGGAGGAUCCGAGCGUUAUCCGGAUUUAUUGGGUUUAAAGGGAGCGUAGAUGGGUUGUUAAGUCAGUUGUGAAAGUUUGCGGCUCAACCGUAAAAUUGCAAUUGAUACUGGAAGUCUUGAGUACAGUUGAGGUAGGCGGAAUGCGUGGUGUAGCGGUGAAAUGCUUAGAUAUCACGAAGAACCCCGAUUGCGAAGGCAGCUUACUAAACUGUGACUGACAUUGAUGCUCGAAAGUGUGGGUAUCAAACAGGAUUAGAUACCCUUGUAGUC
rnacentral:rRNA from 1 species